rnacentral:rRNA from 1 species
AAGGUUAAGCCUCACGGUUCAUUAGUACCGGUUAGCUCAACGCAUCGCUGCGCUUACACACCCGGCCUAUCAACGUCGUCGUCUUCAACGUUCCUUCAGGACUCUCAAGGAGUCAGGGAGAACUCAUCUCGGGGCAAGUUUCGUGCUUAGAUGCUUUCAGCACUUAUCUCUUCCGCAUUUAGCUACCGGGCAGUGCCAUUGGCAUGACAACCCGAACACCAGUGAUGCGUCCACUCCGGUCCUCUCGUACUAGGAGCAGCCCCCCUCAGUUCUCCAGCGCCCACGGCAGAUAGGGACCGAACUGUCUCACGACGUUCUAAACCCAGCUCGCGUACCACUUUAAAUGGCGAACAGCCAUACCCUUGGGACCUACUUCAGCCCCAGGAUGUGAUGAGCCGACAUCGAGGUGCCAAACACCGCCGUCGAUAUGAACUCUUGGGCGGUAUCAGCCUGUUAUCCCCGGAGUACCUUUUAUCCGUUGAGCGAUGGCCCUUCCAUUCAGAACCACCGGAUCACUAUGACCUGCUUUCGCACCUGCUCGCGCCGUCACGCUCGCAGUCAAGCUGGCUUAUGCCAUUGCACUAACCUCCUGAUGUCCGACCAGGAUUAGCCAACCUUCGUGCUCCUCCGUUACUCUUUAGGAGGAGACCGCCCCAGUCAAACUACCCACCAGACACUGUCCGCAACCCGGAUUACGGGUCAACGUUAGAACAUCAAACAUUAAAGGGUGGUAUUUCAAGGUCGGCUCCAUGCAGACUGGCGUCCACACUUCUAAGCCUCCCACCUAUCCUACACAUCAAGGCUCAAUGUUCAGUGUCAAGCUAUAGUAAAGGUUCACGGGGUCUUUCCGUCUUGCCGCGGGUACACUGCAUCUUCACAGCGAGUUCAAUUUCACUGAGUCUCGGGUGGAGACAGCCUGGCCAUCAUUACGCCAUUCGUGCAGGUCGGAACUUACCCGACAAGGAAUUUCGCUACCUUAGGACCGUUAUAGUUACGGCCGCCGUUUACCGGGGCUUCGAUCAAGAGCUUCGCUUGCGCUGACCCCAUCAAUUAACCUUCCGGCACCGGGCAGGCGUCACACCGUAUACGUCCACUUUCGUGUUUGCACAGUGCUGUGUUUUUAAUAAACAGUUGCAGCCAGCUGGUAUCUUCGACUGAUUUCAGCUCCAUCCGCGAGGGACUUCACCUACAUAUCAGCGUGCCUUCUCCCGAAGUUACGGCACCAUUUUGCCUAGUUCCUUCACCCGAGUUCUCUCAAGCGCCUUGGUAUUCUCUACCUGACCACCUGUGUCGGUUUGGGGUACGAUUUGAUGUUACCUGAUGCUUAGAGGCUUUUCCUGGAAGCAGGGCAUUUGUUGCUUCAGCACCGUAGUGCCUCGUCAUCACGCCUCAGCCUUGAUUUUCCGGAUUUGCCUGGAAAACCAGCCUACACGCUUAAACCGGGACAACCGUCGCCCGGUCAACAUAGCCUUCUCCGUCCCCCCUUCGCAGUAACACCAAGUACAGGAAUAUUAACCUGUUUCCCAUCGACUACGCCUUUCGGCCUCGCCUUAGGGUCGACUCACCCUGCCCCGAUUAACGUUGGACAGGAACCCUUGGUCUUCCGGCGAGCGGGCUUUUCACCCGCUUUAUCGUUACUUAUGUCAGCAUUCGCACUUCUGAUACCUCCAGCAUGCCUCACAGCACACCUUCACAGGCUUACAGAACGCUCCCCUACCCAACAACGCAUAAGCGUCGCUGCCGCAGCUUCGGUGCAUGGUUUAGCCCCGUUACAUCUUCCGCGCAGGCCGACUCGACCAGUGAGCUAUUACGCUUUCUUUAAAUGAUGGCUGCUUCUAAGCCAACAUCCUGGCUGUCUGGGCCUUCCCACAUCGUUUCCCACUUAACCAUGACUUUGGGACCUUAGCUGGCGGUCUGGGUUGUUUCCCUCUUCACGACGGACGUUAGCACCCGCCGUGUGUCUCCCGUGAUAACAUUCUCCGGUAUUCGCAGUUUGCAUCGGGUUGGUAAGUCGGGAUGACCCCCUUGCCGAAACAGUGCUCUACCCCCGGAGAUGAAUUCACGAGGCGCUACCUAAAUAGCUUUCGGGGAGAACCAGCUAUCUCCCGGUUUGAUUGGCCUUUCACCCCCAGCCACAAGUCAUCCGCUAAUUUUUCAACAUUAGUCGGUUCGGUCCUCCAGUUAGUGUUACCCAACCUUCAACCUGCCCAUGGCUAGAUCACCGGGUUUCGGGUCUAUACCCUGCAACUUAACGCCCAGUUAAGACUCGGUUUCCCUUCGGCUCCCCUAUUCGGUUAACCUUGCUACAGAAUAUAAGUCGCUGACCCAUUAUACAAAAGGUACGCAGUCACACGCCUAAGCGUGCUCCCACUGCUUGUACGUACACGGUUUCAGGUUCUUUUUCACUCCCCUCGCCGGGGUUCUUUUCGCCUUUCCCUCACGGUACUGGUUCACUAUCGGUCAGUCAGGAGUAUUUAGCCUUGGAGGAUGGUCCCCCCAUAUUCAGACAGGAUACCACGUGUCCCGCCCUACUCAUCGAGCUCACAGCAUGUGCAUUUUUGUGUACGGGGCUGUCACCCUGUAUCGCGCGCCUUUCCAGACGCUUCCACUAACACACACACUGAUUCAGGCUCUGGGCUGCUCCCCGUUCGCUCGCCGCUACUGGGGGAAUCUCGGUUGAUUUCUUUUCCUCGGGGUACUUAGAUGUUUCAGUUCCCCCGGUUCGCCUCAUUAACCUAUGGAUUCAGUUAAUGAUAGUGUGUCGAAACACACUGGGUUUCCCCAUUCGGAAAUCGCCGGUUAUAACGGUUCAUAUCACCUUACCGACGCUUAUCGCAGAUUAGCACGUCCUUCAUCGCCUCUGACUGCCAGGGCAUCCACCGUGUACGCUUAGUCGCUUAA